GAGACGUGGCGGCGUGCCUAAUACAUGCAAGUCGAGCGAAUGGAUUAAGAGCUUGCUCUUAUGAAGUUAGCGGCGGACGGGUGAGUAACACGUGGGUAACCUGGCCAUAAGACUGGGAUAACUCCGGGAAACCGGGGCUAAUACCGGAUAACAUUUUGAACCGCAUGGUUCGAAAUUGAAAGGCGGCUUCGGCUGUCACUUAUGGAUGGACCCGCGUCGCAUUAGCUAGUUGGUGAGGUAACGGCUCACCAAGGCAACGAUGCGUAGCCGACCUGAGAGGGUGAUCGGCCACACUGGGACUGAGACACGGCCCAGACUCCUACGGGAGGCAGCAGUAGGGAAUCUUCCGCAAUGGACGAAAGUCUGACGGAGCAACGCCGCGUGAGUGAUGAAGGCUUUCGGGUCGUAAAACUCUGUUGUUAGGGAAGACAAGUGCUAGUUGAAUAAGCUGGCACCUUGACGGUACCUAACCAGUAAGCCACGGCUAACUACGUGCCAGCAGCCGCGGUAAUACGUAGGUGGCAAGCGUUAUCCGGAAUUAUUGGGCGUAAAGCGCGCGCAGGUGGUUUCUUAGUCUGAUGUGAAAGCCCACGGCUCACCCGUGGAGGGUCAUUGGAAACUGGGAGACUUGAGUGCAGAAGAGGAAAGUGGAAUUCCAUGUGUAGCGGUGAAAUGCGUAGAGAUAUGGAGGAACACCAGUGGCGAAGGCGACUUUCUGGUCUGUAACUGACCACUGAGCGCGAAAGCGUGGGG
rnacentral:rRNA from 1 species